UCUGUCUCCCUGUGGACGGGAACGGUAGGUGGCCACUGGUCACCUAAUGCAUUGCACAGUGACUACCUGUGGGAUUUGGUGACUAUUGCAGGGACAAAUGUUGAAGGACCCUGAAGUGCCUGCCUGUCCCUCCACCCUGACCUCUCUGUGGCUUCUUUUGCUGCAUGUCUAGCUGGGUGCAGUGUCCUGUUACUUGAUCGUUCCUCGUUGGCGUCUACUUUCCUAGUCCUCCCUGGAUGCCUCUUCUAUUGCACCUACUGAACCAGUGGGCUGUGCUCUCUUUCACACAGUGACACUUCUGGCUGAGAAGUCAUUAGUACCCCGCCACCCCCUAUCAUCACAGUCAGUAGGCCCUAAAACUGGCCCUGUGUUUGGUCCAACCCACCUUCCACUUUGCCUCUCAUGACUGAUCCUUGAUUUAUGCCCAGGUGUCCUCAAGCCCACACCCUGAUAGCUGACCCUCUGUCAGACUGUGCCUCUUACAAAAGGCCCUUCUCUUAUUCUUCUCUCUCAGGCCAACACCUGUCCUACUUCCACUCACUGACCUUCCCUGACCACUCCAGGUAAUAACUACUCCCUGUCUUCAGAACCCUGCCACACCACUCAUUGGGCAGAUAAUUUCAUGUUCUCCAUGGGGUCAUUCUGUGUUCCUCUGUGUGCAUGGUGCCUGGCAUAGAGCAGGGGUGCAAAAAUAUUUGUUGACUGAGUGUGCAAAUGUAAUCUCUUUCUCCUGGCAAAGUUUCCUGAAGGUAGAGGCCAUGUACUGUCUACUGCACAGCUGACUUUAUGCCCAAAGCUAGUCUGCCAGAUAUAUUUGUGUAUUAGCAGCUUAAAACCACCAGUCUGGUACCGGCCCCUUUAAGUGGAUUGACCAUACACAGAUGCACACACACACACACACACACACACACACACACACACACACACACAUACACACACGAGACAUAGUUGUUUUGUUUUUAACCUCAAUGUAUAAGACCCAGAAGGUCUUUGGAAAUCAUCAAGAGAAGAGCUCUCUGUGAUGACAGAAAUGUUUUAUAUCGGCUCUAUCCUAUAUGGCAGCCACUAGACACACAUAGCCAUUGAGCACUUGAAAUGUGGCCAGUGUGAUUGAGGAACUGGAUUUUUAAUUGCAUUUAAUUUAAAUUAUUUUAAAUGUAUGUAGCCCCAUGAAGCUAGUGGCUGCCAUUGUGGAUAGGCAGUUCCGGACCACUCCCAGUUCACCUGCUCUAACCUCUGCCCCUCACUGUCUCCCCUCCAGACCCCUGAGCCCCUUCCAGCACUGCUUGAGGUGCCCUCUACCUGUGCCUACCUCUCUUGUCUGCCAGUUUGAUUUGGACCUGUUUUUGCCACCUCAGCCCCCAUGCUCUUGUCAAACAUGUAUUUGGCCUCUGGCCAAACAGGGCCUGGAAGGAAAACAGAGUCCUGCUUCUGCUUGGCUUCCGCAUCAGGGAGGGGAGUUGAAGUGACAGCCUCCUGAUGGCUUAGAAAUGUGGAGGAUGCAUCAUGUUCUGGACAUGGCUGGCCAUAUGAAUGACAUCUUUUCUUUCUUUGAACCAUCUCCACCUGCUUUUAUGGACCGGCCCCCCCCCCCCGCCCCCGCCCCGCCGCCAUGGGCAGGGCAAAGGAUAGGCACAACUUGGAAGAUUUUGGCUUUGUGAUCCUCAGUGUCCAGAGUCACCCAGAUGGGCCGGAAGCUGCCUUUGAAGCCAACAAAUGCCAUUUGCUCUGAAAAGCAAUGAUGAGUCUCCUGAACAAAAGCCCUAUGAGAGGACGGCUGUCCCACCCCGUUCCAGGGCUCCCCAUCACCAGUCCCCCACCCCCACCAGGCAUCCCCCAGCCACACUGCACUGUGGCCCCUUGGGAAGAGCUCUGUGCUCAGCUACUGAUGGUGCCUGACAUGCAUUUGUAUGGGGCAGGCAGGGUCUCUCCUGAGCCUCACUGCCACCUAGGCAGGGUGAUGGCUUUGCUUUUGACAGGGGAGCCAUGCACAGCAGGAAAUGGGGCAAAUUGUAAGGGAGGAGACCUCCUAGGAACCUGCCUACCUUCGAACUGCCCCUAGGACCACCAGCAAGUCCCUGCCCCUCUCUGAAGCCCAGUGUUCCCAUCCAUCAGACGAUGGCAUUGAUCUACAAGAUCUCCUCCCCCGCCCUAUCACUCUGUGGCUUUAGAAGGAAUUCUGAGAGGUGAAGGAAUUUGACCAAGAGUGUGGAGUAAAUGGUGCAGCCCAGAUUCGAACUCUAACCCCCUGAACCCCACACAGCACUCCCCAUCUUGCAGUUCAGAGUUUGAGCAUCCAAGGGGCAUGGGAAUUCACAUCUAUACUCAGCCCAUCCUGGCAGGCAACAUGCAUUUAUCACCACCGGGAAAGUGCCAUUCAACUUAGGUCACAUUACAUACAUCAACUUUUGGCAACCGGGAUCUUAAUUUAAAAGACAGAGGCUCCAAAAUGAUUCUAGGACUGGGCUGGAAAGGAUACUUCUCUUUUCCUUAUGUUCUUCUUUGGCUGGUUUGAAGGGUUUGCAUUGCUUCUGAUUUUUCUUAUCACCCCAUAUGAUGGGCUUCUGAUAUGAUGUUUUCCAUAGUGAGGAUGGUGUAUAACUAAGAAGCCCAGCUUUGAGUUAGGAAGAUUAGGAUCCAAGUCCUAACCUUAAACAAGUGGCUUAGCUGUUAAAUUCUUGGUGUCCUCAUCUUAAAUGGAAAUAAUAGUACCUGGUGUACAGGUUAUUAAUGAGUAAGUGAGAUAAUUAUAACAUGUUCUGCAAAGUGCAAGGCCGAACAUUAAACAGAACCACAAUGAUCAUUAUCAUUAUUGCCCAUGGAGCUGCUCUACUGCCCACACAACCUCUCUGAGGACUCUCCCUGCACCUAGUUUUUGUGAUAUAAUGGGUGUCAUGCUGAUAUGUCCCUCCUGGAUGGCUUCUUCCAGCACAGCCUGCAAACCUGUGCUAGGCUUCACCACCAAAGAGUUGCCUGGCCUUGAACAAGCCAUGUAGGUUCUCUGGGCUUCUAGUUUUCUUUUCAUCUACCUAUCUCAGAGGAACAAAUAAGAGUUUUGCAAGCUGCAAAGGACUAUACAAAUGCUAGGCAUCAGCUGGAAUGUUGAAGAAGAUGCAGGACCCCUGGCCAGUCUGAAUAGCAGGAAUGGGGUAGGAGGGUGAGGCUAAGCUACUUUUCUUAUGAUACUUUUGUUGAAUAAAGGGCCACUUUCCAAGCAAA